CACGUAGGGCGCAAGCGUUGUCCGGAAUUAUUGGGCGUAAAGAGCUCGUAGGUGGUCUGUUGCGUCCGCUGUGAAAACUCGGGGCUUAACCCCGAGCCUGCAGUGGAUACGGGCAGACUAGAGGUAGGUAGGGGAGAAUGGAAUUCCCGGUGUAGCGGUGAAAUGCGCAGAUAUCGGGAGGAACACCGGUGGCGAAGGCGGAUCUCUGGGCCAUUACUGACGCUGAGGAGCGAAAGCGUGGGGAGCGAACAGG
rnacentral:rRNA from 1 species